rnacentral:rRNA from 1 species
AUUGAACGCUGGCGGCAUGCCUUACACAUGCAAGUCGAACGGUAACAGGUCUUCGGAUGCUGACGAGUGGCGAACGGGUGAGUAAUACAUCGGAACGUGCCUAGUAGUGGGGGAUAACUACUCGAAAGAGUGGCUAAUACCGCAUGAGAUCUACGGAUGAAAGCAGGGGAUCGCAAGACCUCGUGCUACUAGAGCGGCCGAUGGCAGAUUAGGUAGUUGGUGGGAUAAAAGCUUACCAAGCCGACGAUCUGUAGCUGGUCUGAGAGGACGAUCAGCCACACUGGGACUGAGAAACGGCCCAGACUCCUACGGGAGGCAGCAGUGGGGAAUUUUGGACAAUGGGCGCAAGCCUGAUCCAGCAAUGCCGCGUGCAGGAUGAAGGCCUUCGGGUUGUAAACUGCUUUUGUACGGAACGAAAAGCCCCGGGUUAAUACCCUGGGGUCAUGACGGUACCGCAAGAAUAAGCACCGGCUAACUACGUGCCAGCCGCCGCCGUAA